AUUGAACGCUGGCGGCAUGCCUUACACAUGCAAGUCGAACGGCAGCACGGGGCAACCUGGUGGCGAGUGGCGAACGGGUGAGUAAUAUAUCGGAACGUACCUUUCAGUGGGGGAUAACGUAGCGAAAGUUACGCUAAUACCGCAUAUUCUGUGAGCAGGAAAGCAGGGGAUCGCAAGACCUUGCGCUGAUUGAGCGGCCGAUAUCAGAUUAGGUAGUUGGUGGGGUAAAGGCCUACCAAGCCUGCGAUCUGUAGCGGGUCUGAGAGGAUGAUCCGGCACACUGGGACUGAGACACUGCCCAGACUCAUACGGGAGGCAGCAGUGGGGAAGUUUGGACAAUGGGGGCAACCCUGAUUCAGCCAUGCCGCGUGAGUGAAGAAGGCCUUCGGGUUGUAAAGCUCUUUCGGCCGGGAAGAAAUCGGUGAGGCUAAUAUCCUCACUGGAUGACGGUACCUAAAGAACAAGCCACGGCUAACUACGUGCCAGCCGCCGCGGUAA
rnacentral:rRNA from 1 species